UACGUAGGUGGCAAGCGUUGUCCGGAUUUAUUGGGCGUAAAGAGCGUGUAGGCGGCCAGGUAGGUCUGCUGUGAAAACUCGAGGCUCAACCUCGAGACGUCGGCGGAAACCAUCUGGCUAGAGUCCGGAAGAGGAGAGUGGAAUUCCUGGUGUAGCGGCGAAAUGCGCAGAUAUCAGGAAGAACACCCGUGGCGAAGGCGGCUCUCUGGGACGGUACUGACGCUGAGACGCGAAAGCGUGGGGAGCGAACAGG
rnacentral:rRNA from 1 species